AGAGUUUGAUCCUGGCUCAGGACGAACGCUGGCGGCGUGCCUAAUACAUUCAAGUCGAACGAAGCUUUCUUUCACCGAAUGCUUACAUUCACCGAAAGAAGCUUAGUGGCGAACGGGUGAGUAACACGUAGGCAACCUGCCCAAAAGAGGGGGAUAACACUUGGAAACAGGUGCUAAUACCGCAUAACCAUGAACACCGCAUGAUGUUCAUGUAAAAGACGGCUUUUGCUGUCACUUUUGGAUGGGCCUGCGGCGUAUUAACUUGUUGGUGGGGUAACGGCCUACCAAGGUGAUGAUACGUAGCCGAACUAAGAGGUUGAUCGGCCACAUUGGGACUGAGACACGGCCCAAACUCCUACGGGAGGCAGCAGUAGGGAAUCUUCCACAAUGGACGAAAGUCUGAUGGAGCAACGCCGCGUGAAUGAAGAAGGCCUUCGGGUCGUAAAAUUCUGUUGUCAGAGAAGAACGUGCGUGAGAGUAACUGUUCACGUAUUGACGGUAUCUGACCAGAAAGCCACGGCUAACUACGUGCCAGCAGCCGCGGUAAUACGUAGGUGGCGAGCGUUGUCCGGAUUUAUUGGGCGUAAAGGGAACGCAGGCGGCCUUUUAAGUCUGAUGUGAAAGCCUUCGGCUUAACCGAAGUAGUGCAUUGGAAACUGGAAGACUAGAGUGCAGAAGAGGAGAGUGGAGCUCCAUGUGUAGCGGUGAAAUGCGUAGAUAUAUGGAAGAACACCAGUGGCGAAAGCGGCUCUCUGGUCUGUAACUGACGCUGAGGUUCGAAAGCGUGGGUAGCAAACAGGAUUAGAUACCCUGGUAGUCCACGCCGUAAACGAUGAGUGCUAAGUGUUGGAGGGUUUCCGCCCUUCAGUGCUGCAGCUAACGCAUUAAGCACUCCGCCUGGGGAGUACGGUCGCAAGACUGAAACUCAAAGGAAUUGACGGGGGCCCGCACAAGCGGUGGAGCAUGUGGUUUAAUUCGAAGCAACGCGAAGAACCUUACCAGGUCUUGACAUCUUCUGACAAUUCCAGAGAUGGAACGUUCCCUUCGGGGACAGAAUGACAGGUGGUGCAUGGUUGUCGUCAGCUCGUGUCGUGAGAUGUUGGGUUAAGUCCCGCAACGAGCGCAACCCUUAUUGUCAGUUGCCAUCAUUAAGUUGGGCACUCUGGCGAGACUGCCGGUGACAAACCGGAGGAAGGUGGGGAUGACGUCAAAUCAUCAUGCCCCUUAUGACCUGGGCUACACACGUGCUACAAUGGACGGUACAACGAGUCGCUAACUCGCGAGGGCAAGCUAAUCUCUUAAAGCCGUUCUCAGUUCGGAUUGCAGGCUGCAACUCGCCUGCAUGAAGUCGGAAUCGCUAGUAAUCGCGAAUCAGCAUGUCGCGGUGAAUACGUUCCCGGGCCUUGUACACACCGCCCGUCACACCAUGAGAGUUUGUAACACCCAAAGUCGGUGGGGUAACCUUUUGGAGCCAGCCGCCUAAGGUGGGACAGAUGAUUGGGGUGAAGUCGUAACAAGGUA
rnacentral:rRNA from 1 species